GACGAACGUUGGCGGCGUGCUUAAUACAUGCAAGUCCACUGAAGCAGUGGUAGCAAUGUCGCUGUGGAGGUGGCGCACGGGUGAGUAACACGUAGGUAAUCUGCCUUCAGGUCUGGCAUAACUCCGGGAAACCGGGGCUAAUAGCAGAUGAUGCAGCGGCUCGACAUCGAGACAGUUGUUAAAGCUAUGGCGCCUGAAGAUGAGCCUGCGUCUGAUUAGCUAGUUGGCGGGGUAACGGCCCACCAAGGCAACGAUCAGUAGCUGGUCUGAGAGGAUGAUCAGCCACACGGGAACUGAGACACGGUCCAGACUCCUACGGGAGGCAGCAGUAAGGAAUAUUGCUCAAUGGGAGAAAUCCUGAAGCAGCAACGCCGCGUGAGGGACGAAGGGCUUUUGCUUGUAAACCUCUGUAGUGAGAGAAAAAAAUCCCAAUCUUUGGGACAUGAUGGUAUCUCAAAAGUAAGCCCCGGCUAACUACGUG
rnacentral:rRNA from 1 species